rnacentral:rRNA from 1 species
CGUGUAGGCGGUUUGUACAGUCAGAUGUGAAAUCCCCGGGCUUAACCUGGGAGCUGCAUUUGAGACGUGCAGACUAGAGUGUGAGAGAGGGUUGUGGAAUUCCCAGUGUAGAGGUGAAAUUCGUAGAUAUUGGGAAGAACACCGGUGGCGAAGGCGGCAACCUGGCUCAUUACUGACGCUGAGGCGCGGAAGCGUGGGAGCAAACA